UUUCUGUGUUCACGUCAGGACCAGGAAGCAUUUCUUUGUGCCUAUGAGAGCGAAAGUGUGGUGUGUGCGCGAGGGCGCAGAGUUCCAACACCUCAUUCUACACAGCCCCGGUUAUAGCUUCAUUCUCCGUCGGCUCCUGCGUGUAAUGGAUGGAAAGGACAUGAGCAGCUUUCAUCUUCUGGUUCCCGUUUUGGCCGCACUACCAUGAGCAGUUGUAUUUCGUCUGCAUACACAGGCUUCUAUAGAAAUGGCCUCAGAAGACGCUGCCAUAGCGAUGCUGAACUACUACACCGCGACCACGCCCCAGCUCCGCAACCCGCCCGUCUUCGUCCAGUACUCAAACCACCGCGAGCUCAAGACCGACGGCCUGCCAGGCCAGGGAAGAGCAAGUGCAGCACUGCAGACAGCGAAUGCAGUGCAUUCUGGGAGUAUGAGUCUGUCUAGGUCGGCAUCGGCCAGCAAUGGCACGAUGAUGGGAGGCCAGAGCCCGGUGCUGCGUAUCAUUGUGGAGAACCUGUUCUACCCUGUCUCUCUGGAAGUGCUGCACCAGAUUUUCUCAAAGUUCGGGACAGUCCUGAAGAUCAUCACUUUCACCAAGAAUAACCAGUUCCAGGCAUUGCUACAGUACAGUGAUGCAGGGAAUGCACACCAUGCCAAACUGGCUUUGGACGGCCAGAAUAUCUACAACGCGUGCUGCACCCUGCGUGUGGAGUACUCCAAGCUGACCAGCCUUAACGUCAAAUACAACAACGACAAGAGCCGUGACUUCACCCGCAUGGACCUGCCGUCCGGGGACAGCCAGCCCACCCUGGACCACGCCAUGGCCGCUGCGUUUGGGGCCCAGGGGAUAAUCCCGUCACCGUACAGCGGAGCUGCGGCGUUCGGUCCCAUCAGCUUUCCCCACGCAGGUCUGUCCCUGCAGAUGAUGCCAGGCACUCUGGAAACCCUGAGCAUGCCCAGCUCAGCCAUGGCGGGCAGGAUGGCCAUCCACGGCAUGCCACACACUGCCAUGAACUCAGUGCUCCUCGUGUCCAACCUCAACCCCAGCAGCAUAUCGCCACAUGGACUCUUCAUCUUGUUUGGUGUCUAUGGGGAUGUGCACAGAGUGAAGAUCAUGUUUAAUAAGAAAGAAAAUGCCUUAAUACAGAUGGCUGAUGCCACCCAGGCGCAGCUGGCGAUGAGCCACCUGAACGGGCAGCGGCUGCAUGGGCGGGUGAUGAGGGUGACGGUCUCACGGCACCAGAGCGUGCAGCUGCCCCGGGAGGGCCAGGAGGACCAGGGCCUCACCAAGGACUACAGCGGCUCCCCCCUGCACCGCUUCAAAAAGCCCGGCUCCAAGAACUUCCAGAACAUCUUCCCCCCGUCCGCCACCCUGCACCUGUCCAACAUCCCUCCUUCUGUCACUGAUGAAAUCCUGCAGGAUCUGUUCACUGGCUGUGGGUAUUCAGUAAGGGCCUUCAAAUUCUUCCUGAAAGAUCGCAAGAUGGCGCUGAUCCAGCUGGGCUCCGUGGAGGAGGCCAUCCAGGCCUUGAUCGACCUCCACAACCACGACCUGGGAGAGAACCACCACCUCCGUGUGUCCUUCUCCAAAUCCACCAUCUAGCAGACUCCGCCCACCAAACAGACCCCGCCCACUAAACAGACUCCGCCCACCCGGCUGCCAUCUUCUCGCACUGAGGACCACAGAGAGAGAGAAGCAAUAGAGGAUUUAUGUUCACGAGUAAAAUAAUGAGAGCAAAACACUAAAGAAGGCGCAUGAGGGCUCCAUCAGACAGGCUGGGGGGGUCAGAGAUCCGUUUCUGAGGCAGACGAGGGAAUGUUCUAACCGCUGCACAGUGUCCCGUUUGAGCCUUCACAGUCCACAGUGAGCUCUGGCUCAGAGCCUCUGCUCAUUAUGUCUUUAUACGGACAAGCAAUUAACUCUGCAAUCGGACACAGAAGCCUUUUUUAAAAUCAGGAAAAUCUUGUAAAAUGCUAUCAGAUGCUGCAAGAAACAAAGUCAGGCUGUUUUUGGUAUGAGGGCAGGUAUAGGCACGUGGGAGCACCCACCCUGUACCCUAGGAUUCACGAUUCAGCCUUGCUGGAACCGUACAGAAGCUAAUGAACCCGUGGAAAGCCAUGUGUCCUUCUGUCCUGAAAAUGGAAUUAUGUGCCAGCUGUGCAGCCCAAAGAGGACCUUCAUCGCUGGAGCCCUCGAGAGCCUCACACAGGCAUGCAGGGGAAUCAUGAGGGGAUUUAUUUUUUAAAUAACGGUUGGAUGUGUGACAGGCACAGGUUCAGCAGGGUGACAGGCAUGGGGGGUUCAGAAGUCUCACUGUAGCGUGUGUUUGCUCCCUGCGAAGGCCAGGCGCACAAACAGACUGCAGACUCGCACAUCACACUGAUUUAGGAUUUCGCUUCUGGAUUUUUGGGGUUUUUUAAGUUAUAAAGGAUGUGUUUUUAUAUGUUAGGCCGAGGGUUUUUAUUUUAUUAAUUCUUUUUUGGGCAACGACAUUGGGUUAUCAAAGUCAGCAACUUGAUAUAAAAAAAGAAAAGACUGCCGUUAAUCGCUUCUGUACAUGAGCUUUAUACACAACACUGAGUUCCCUCCGCCAACUCCCAUAAGCACGCUCUCAGCACAGUGCAUCCAUUAACCAGAGAACUGAAUUCGGUUGUCUCUGGAAGCAGACAGUGACAUAACAGAAACUGUGAAUAAAGCCGGGAGGGUUAGGGUUAGAUAGAGGCCAUGUCACGGCCGUUCCAACAGCACCACGCUGUCACUGCGCUGUCACUGCGCUGUCACUGCGCUGUCUCUGCGCUGUGUCUGUGCUGUCACUGCGCUGUCACUGCGCUGUGUCUGUGCUGUCACUGCGUUGUCACUGCGCUGUCACUGCGCUGUCUCUGCGCUGUCACUGCGCUGUCACUGCGCUGUGUCUGUGCUGUCACUGCGCUGUCACUGUGCUGUCUCUGCGCUGUCUCUGCGCUGUCACUGUGCUGUCACUGCGCUGUCACCAGGGUGUGUGGCCAGCGGGACCCAUGUGCUCCCAGGUGAACUCAGGGGCGUGAGAUAUGACAGAUCAGAAGAGCGCUCCAGUCAGUUAUGAGUCUCUGUCUGGGUUAAAUCUCCAGGGUUUACUUUCUGCUUUCUUCCCCUUCAUUUUCCUCUCAAGACAACAAGCAGAGACGUCAACAGCCUACUUGAGGAUAUCUUUAGCCGACUAUAUUUUUUUCCUCUGUUACUCUUGAAAUUAACCCCCCCCCUUGCCCCCCGGGGGAGAUGAAACUCUUUCCUUAGCCUUGUGCUCUCACAGGACACACACCUGCCUUUGAUCUCUCUGAGAACUGCACACACACCUGAGACUCGGACUCUGAGGCAUACGCAUGGCCCAUGCUGCCAGGACUGUGGUGUGUGUGUGUGUGUGCGUGUGUGUGUUCCCGCUCUUCAGCGCCAUUCAGAUACAACAGGCCACGCCCCCUCCGUGUGACCGCUGCACGGCUCGAGGCCCGCCUUAACAUUCCGAGAGGGGUUGCCAUGGAAACCCGCGAGUGGCGUGACGGGGGGCGUGUCCCCUCUGUGUCAGCGAGCAGUCUGGAGACUUCAUAGAAAGAGCAAGCACUUCUUAAAUAUUAAAAAGAGAUGUUUACAGUCUUAAAUACAACGGUAAUAUUCAGGUUUAUAUAUUUAAAGGACUGUUGCAUUUGUAAAGAAGUUACUUAUUUUUGUUUGGAAUGCCCAGUGACCAUAAGCCCAUCAGCUAUACGCGACCUCCACAGAUUCAGGUGGACCGCAUUACAGUUUACAAUGUAGGUAUCCAGGGAAACUUCCAUAGCUUAUAUUUGCCAUACAGUCUAUUUAUAUACUGUUUCAUUCUAUUAAUGUCUAUGUGUAUUUACACACGCCCAUAGACUGCCACACACAGCCUUCUCUGCAACCUGCCUGCAGACCUGCUAGCAUGACUAGAUAUUCGAUGAACGUUCCUUGAUCAUUUUUAAGUGGCAAAUGUUGUAUAGUCUAGCACUGGCACAGCAAAACUGUUACUUAAUGUACAUAAACAUACACUGUAGAACAAUAAUAUUAAUGAACGUUCAUAAUGUGUCUUAAUGUAUUUAUUAAAGGUAAAUAAUGUUUAACUUUAUGAAGGUUUCACAGAAAUCUGAGUGGUGCUGAGGGAUGGAUGUAUGGCUAGGCUGUAACCCGUAUCCCAGAACAGUAUCUUUUGGAAAUGUGAAGAGUUCCUUGUUUCUUUCCAAAAGGAUUUCUGCAAUAGCAGGUUGCAAAAGCGUUGGUCUUGGAUUGCGCUGUCCCUCCAUUGCCUCAAUCCAUCUGUUACAGGCCUGCUCCCUGCUUGCACAUUUUAUUCCCAUGGGAUUAGCUGCUGGGCUUCAUCCAACAGGUUUUUCUACACAUUGUAUGGAAGAUGGCUGAGAAGCUUUAAAUUCCAGAGAAUUAAAUCCUAGAGAACUUUAAGUUGCAGUUGUAUUUAUACUUACCUGCAGUUGUAGUCCAUUUCCUGUGGUCUGACUAAAGCCUGGGUUAAUAUUUCAUCAUAUUAUAAAUUCUGGGUUUUCAGGGGUUAUAUGGUAAUGACAUACAGUCCUUUGGUAGUUCAGAACUGUGAAUGGGAUUUUGUGAGUUUAUAUAGUUAACCAUUGACUGGACUGUAUCCAUCUAAACUACACUAACACUUGAAACAUUGGAUUUGUUUUGUUUUUUAUUCCCAGUGUUGAGAGUGAACAGACAAUAACAGAAUUUAUUAUUUGUACAGCGCCCUACAAAAUGGAAAGCACUGGAACAGCGGUAGGCCUGACUGGUGGAGGAUGAGAGUGGGUCUGGCCCACACACACAGAUGGUUUGGGGAGGGGAAAGUCCACGAGGCACAGUGGGAGAUUUGUCAAAAUUUGGUUGCAUCUUCGAUACACAAUGUCUCAGAAUCUACAUCAGAUUCCGCCUUUGUGCCGAUUGGCUUCCUGGAAGGGUUGCCAAAACAAGCAACAAAAAUGAACAUCUGGGGUUUCCUAAACAGCACGGGAACCUUUGGAGUCACUCCUAUAAAGUAUCAUUUCAUUAGCAAUUUGCAGCUCUCCCAUUUUGGACAGGUCAACAGGAAGUGCUUUUCAGCGACCCUGUCCUAAAUCACUAAACCUUGUGUGCUUUUGCAAUAUGGUACUUUUACAAAAAAAUAAACGAUGUUCUGCAUUCUGUUCACUUAUCCUUGCUUUCUAUAUUCUCUCUCUAAUUUUCAAUAGCCGUGCUGAGCUUGUGUCUCGUAAAUGUUUUUAGGCUGUAAAUAUUUAUGAGGACACAGUGGGACAGCAGUUACCCAUAAGUAAGCUCCUUUGCAUUAGUUAUCCCACAGGCUUAACAUCUCGUCACUUCUAUUAUUUUUCAACUAGUCAGACCUCACCUCCUUUCAAUGUCUGUGUACAUGACAUUUCUGUUGCGUUUUCACCACCAGAUUAUUAACGGCUGGCGAUACGGUGGAGGCAAUGCUUUGAGCAUUUCACUUCAUUUCAGAAGAUACUCUUACUGCUGGGGUUAAGGGCACAGGACAAAAGCACACGUGCCUUUUAUUAACCAUAUUUAUAACUGGAUCUGCUUCAUGUUAUGUCAAGUCUGUAUAGAUGUCCCAUAGGUUGUGAGAUCACAAUGUUGUUAUUAUGACAAAUUCAAAUAUUAGUUUAUAGACAUUGUAAGUAAUAUAAAAAUAAAAUACUAUAGCUGUUAGUGUAACCAAACCGGAUUAACACUUAAAAUCAAUUUAAAGUCAUAUAUAUGGUUUUACAUGACAUUGUUAAAAUUUGAAAACAGGUAAAUUCGUGGUUGCUUAAUUUUUACAAAUCGCUGAAGCUUGGUGUUUUUGUUCUGUAAAUACAAAAGUAAACAUGAACAGUGCCCCUCUUCCCUCCGAAAAAGUUUUGGAUAUUAUGUUAAGUACGGCCAGCAGUAAUUGAAUUUUACUGCACAAAUAUAAACCGUAAUGUUUUGAUGCAGUAGAAGUUCCAAAUUUCUUUUUAAGUGUUUUUUAUGACCUUAACAAAGAGAAGGGGAGAAACAAGAUGAGUUUGUGUCGUGUGUUUAUGCUCUAAAAUGUAUAAAUGUUUGAAGAGAAAGUAUUAACCCUAUUAACCCGUGAUUGCACGUUUGAAUUGUCUGCAUGGUUCCGAGGAAUUUCUGCAUUUGGUUUUAAUUAAAAUUAUAAUUACUCGUUAUUAUGCUCUAACUGUCCACAUACUUUUUUUUCCAAUAUUUAACUGUUGCAUGCCUUGAAUAAAUGUCAUGAUAUGCAAGCUUUCCUCAG